UGGGGAAUAUUGCACAAUGGGCGCAAGCCUGAUGCAGCCAUGCCGCGUGUAUGAAGAAGGCCUUCGGGUUGUAAAGUACUUUCAGCGGGGAGGAAGGUGUUGUGGUUAAUAACCGCAGCAAUUGACGUUACCCGCAGAAGAAGCACCGGCUAACUCCGUGCCAGCAGCCGCGGUAAUACGGAGGGUGCAAGCGUUAAUCGGAAUUACUGGGCGUAAAGCGUACGCAGGCGGUCUGUCAAGUCGGAUGUGAAAUCCCCGGGCUCAACCUGGGAACUGCAUUCGAAACUGGCAGGCUAGAGUCUUGUAGAGGGGGGUAGAAUUCCAGGUGUAGCGGUGAAAUGCGUAGAGAUCUGGAGGAAUACCGGUGGCGAAGGCGGCCCCCUGGACAAAGACUGACGCUCAGGUGCGAAAGCGUGGGGAGCAAACA
rnacentral:rRNA from 1 species